AUGUUCAAGAUUAGCCAUGCAUGUCUCAGUAUAAGCUUCUAUACGGCGAAGCUGCGAAUGGCUCAUUAAAACAGUUAUAGUUUAUUUGGUGGUCAGCAAUUACAUGGAUAACCGUGGUAAUUCUAGAGCUAAUACAUGCGCCCAAACCCGACUUCGUGGAAGGGUUGUGUUUAGUAGAUACAGAACCAACCCAGGCUCCGCCUGGCCUUGAGGUGAUUCAUAAUAACCGAACGAAUCGCAUGGCUAUGCCGGCGAUAGACCAUUCAAGUUUCUGACCUAUCAGCUAUCGUCGGUAGGGUAUUGGCCUACCGUGGCAAUGACGGGUAACGGAGAAUUAGGGUUCGAUUCCGGAGAGGGAGCCUGAGAAACGGCUACCACAUCUAAGGAAGGCAGCAGGCGCGCAAAUUACCCAAUCCUGACGCAGGGAGGUAGUGACAAGAAAUAACAAUACAGGGCAUACAUGUCUUGUAAUUGGAAUGAGUAAACUUUAAAUCACUUUA
rnacentral:rRNA from 1 species